CCCCCCGCGGUUAUACUAAUAGUAUAUUUUAAAAUUUUUAGGUUAGGUAUUCUAUUUAUCAAUAAAAUUUUAUUAGUAAAUAUAUUUAUUAAGUGAAAUUUUAAAUAUAAAUUUUAAUAAAGGUAAAUUAUAUAUUAAGUUAAUUUUAAAACUAGGAUUAGAUACCCUAUUAUAUUUUUAUAAAUACAUAUAACCUUAUUAUUAAUAGUUAAAUCUUUAAAAUAAAAAAAUUUGGCGGUGAUUAUUAAUUGUUUAGAGGAACCUGUUUUUUAAUUGAUAAUCCACGAUUUAUUUUACCUUAUAAUUUUCUUAUAUACCGCUAUCAUUGAAUAUUUUAUUAGAAAGUUUUCAAUAAUUAUUUUAAUAUAAAAUGUUAGGUCAAGGUUUAGUAUAAUAAGGUUAAAAUGGGUUACAUUAAUUUUAAUUUUGGAUUUUAAGUUUUAAUUCUUAAAUAAAAUUGGAUUUAAUUGUAAUAUUUAAAUUUAUUUUUUUUAUGAAAUUAUUAUGAUUAUGUACAUAUCGCCCGUCAUUCUCAUAAAUUGGGACAAGUCGUAACAAAGUAGGGGUAUUGGAAAAUGCUUCUGGAUUAAUAUUUUU
rnacentral:rRNA from 1 species